rnacentral:tRNA from 1 species
GCUAGCGUAGCUCAACUGGUAGAGCUCCGGUUUUGUAAACCGGGGGUUGUGGGUUCGAGUCCCGUCGCUAGCUCCA